AUUGAACGCUGGCGGCAUGCCUUACACAUGCAAGUCGAACGGCAGCACGGGAGCUUGCUCCUGGUGGCGAGUGGCGAACGGGUGAGUAAUACAUCGGAACGUACCCUGAAGUGGGGGAUAACGUAGCGAAAGUUACGCUAAUACCGCAUAUUCUGUGAGCAGGAAAGAGGGGGAUCGCAAGACCUCUUGCUUUAGGAGCGGCCGAUGUCGGAUUAGCUAGUUGGUGAGGUAAAAGGCUCACCAAGGACGACGAUCCGUAGCGGGUCUGAGAGGAUGAUCCGCCACACUGGGACUGAGACACGGCCCAGACUCCUACGGGAGGCAGCAGUGGGGAAUUUUGGACAAAUGGCGCAAGCCUGAUCCAGCCAUGCGCGUGAGUGAAG
rnacentral:rRNA from 1 species